CCAUUCCUUCUUCAAUUUUCUCCAGUCCCUUACCCCAAAUUCAAAACCACCUCUACCCAAAUGCUGACCGUCGGCAUCACUGUGGCCUCCUCCCUCCAUCCACCAGCUCUGGAAAAGUCAGGCGGACUCUUUCCACUCCCCACUCCGUUCUGAAUCACCUCUUCGCUCCAAUGAUCUAUAGAAAAUGCCAAUGUCAAUUUUAUUAGCAAGAAUAACAAUUCCUCUGAAGCUAUGGAUUUUGUUUCUAGUGGAAGGUAUAUUAUUUGCUGUCGUGGUCUGCUGAAAUAGGAGCCGGGCCAAACCAUGCUCCGACCUGAAGCAUUCUCGAGGCGAGGAGACUCUUCUCCCCAAUUUCUUUGAAGCAACACGGCAACACAGAAGGAUAAUACUUUCUUUAGGAAAAUAUUUUUUCUACAAAAUUGUAGAUCUGUAAUGGAGUAGCAGGUAGCUUCUUCAUAUUGGACAUAUUUCACAGCCUCAAGCAGAGCAAAUGGAGUAAUUGCAAGUUCAGAAAAAGCAGUGAACCACUCACCCACAAUCCGAAACUUGACCUGCCAAAUUUCUCAUCGAACUUCCUGAGGAUUUCUAGUUUUGCAGCUAGAUACUCUUUGUUCCUUCUUCCUCUAAUCAAUGUCAAGCCAUGGGUGAGGUGAUGGUGCCGGCUGCUGGCAACUGGGUGAAGAAAGAGAUGGGUUUUCUUUAUUUUAUUUUCCUUUUUAAAUAUUUUUAUUUAUUCUUUUAUAUUAAAAUUAUAAAGUUACAAUUUUACUCUUGUCUUACUUGAUCAAAAUUAUUAGAUUUUUAAUUUUUGGGAUCAAACCGACGGUUUUUG
rnacentral:lncRNA from 1 species